CCUACGGGAGGCAGCAGUGGGGAAUAUUGGGCAAUGGGCGCAAGCCUGACCCAGCAACGCCGCGUGAAGGAAGAAGGCUUUCGGGUUGUAAACUUCUUUUCUCAGGGACGAAGCAAGUGACGGUACCUGAGGAAUAAGCCACGGCUAACUACGUGCCAGCAGCCGCGGUAAUACGUAGGUGGCAAGCGUUAUCCGGAUUUACUGGGUGUAAAGGGCGUGUAGGCGGGAAAGCAAGUCAGAUGUGAAAACCAUGGGCUCAACCUGUGGCCUGCGUUUGAAACUGUUUUUCUUGAGUACUGGGGAGGCAGACGGAAUGCCUAGUGUAGCGGUGAAAUGCGUAGAUAUUAGGAGGAACACCAGUGGCGAGGGCGGUCUGCUGGACAGCAACUGACGCUGAGGCGCGAAAGCGUGGGGAGCAAACAGGAUUAGAUACCCCUGUAGUC
rnacentral:rRNA from 1 species